rnacentral:rRNA from 1 species
UACAGAGGGGGCAAGCGUUGUUCGGAAUUACUGGGCGUAAAGGGCGCGUAGGCGGCCCGUCAAGUCGAACGUGAAAUCCCCGGGCUCAACCCGGGAACUGCGUCCGAUACUGGCGGGCUCGAAUUCGGGAGAGGGAUGCGGAAUUCCAGGAGUAGCGGUGAAAUGCGUAGAUAUCUGGAGGAACACCGGUGGCGAAGGCGGCAUCCUGGACCGAUAUUGACGCUGAGGCGCGAAAGCCAGGGGAGCAAACGGG